rnacentral:lncRNA from 1 species
GACCAGGAACAUGCAGGCAUGGAACGAGUUGCAAAUUGGCCUCUAUGGAUGCAGGAUGCAAACAGGAAAGACAAAGUGACUAGAUCCUGAAGUGAGCUGAGAAGCAGUUCCCUGCUGAUGUGAAGCUGAUGGAGCUGGAGUGCCUGUCAUCCUGCUGCUUGGGGUAGGUGAAUUUAGGAAUCCUAUUUUGGGAUUAUCAACAAUUCUCUCUUCUUUCCCCACA